UACGUAUGGAGCAAGCGUUAUCCGGAUUUACUGGGUGUAAAGGGUGCGUAGGCGGCGAGUUAAGUCAGCGGUAAAAGCCCGGGGCUCAACCCCGGCCCGCCGUUGAAACUGGCUGGCUUGAGUUGGGGAAAGGCGGGCGGAAUGCGCGGUGUAGCGGUGAAAUGCAUAGAUAUCGCGCAGAACCCCGAUUGCGAAGGCAGCCUGCCGGCCCCACACUGACGCUGAGGCACGAAAGCGUGGGUAUCGAACAGG
rnacentral:rRNA from 1 species